AUUCAGUUAGUUUAUAAAAAAUAAAGAUUUGUGGUAUCUUAGAAAAUUUGAUUUACUGAAUU
rnacentral:tRNA from 1 species